AGGUAAUAGCUCAACAGCAAUUGUGCACUUAUGAAUGCCUUGAACAGAAAUAUUGUAAUUAUAUCUUUAUGCAAUAUCAAUAAAGAAUUUAACUAAUUCACUUCAAAUGAAAACAGUCUUACAUAUAACACAUUUAUAUUAACCACACAAAUCCAGUCCGCUCUUUGCUUCCUUACCCUACUCUUGGUUUUGUGGACACCACGACGAUUUAUAGCUUGUUAAUAAUUAUCAGUAAAUUCUCCAGUAUUGGCCGGGAAGCUACGGUUUAUUUUACCAACCUUUCCAGACGUGUUCCUCCUCUCCAUCUUAUGUGAUUUGCGCACCGGUCUAACGCAAGCUUUGUUCCCAAUCUUACAUUUAUCUCAGCUAUGCACUGUCCUUUCCUAUAAUGGCGGCCGUACCUGCAGUAUCAAUUUUAUAUUCGUAGAUCACGUGUAACGAAUUCAGGCGAGAGUUACGCUAUUCUAGAGCCUAAAACUUAAAAGGUAUGUUUUUAUAUCCAAAAAGAAUGACCGUUAUUUGAACUAUUUAACACUAAACAACUUCAUAAACAAAUUUCCAAACACAAUACUUUUUAAAAUUACUUACGAACACAUAUACUUACACAUGCGAGCUGUGCUGCAUUUUGUAUGCUCUUGUCAUCCGAGCGGCUUAGCCUGGGCAGUUUUAAUGGGGAUACAUUCGCCAUGUUCUAGAAAGCACAAAAUAUAUAUAUAAUGACUAGUAUAAAGAUGAAAGACAAUAAAAACUUUAGCUUAUUAUUAAAAGAAUACCAUAAAUUACCUACUUCGUUGAGAAGGACCUCGCUUGAGGAAACAGAAAGGAGCCGGAAACGGCCUUUCCGCCAGUCCCAUACCUUAUUUGGAAAUGGGACUAUUGCAUUGCGGAAAUGAAGGGGGCGCUAUUUUCAUAAUCACCUUAAGACGCAGGGUUAAAAGGAACGGAAGAAGAAAGAAAGAAGUUUGAGAGGUUCUUCCACUGGUGUUCGGCACAUGAUCAACAAUGCAAAACUCACAAAGUCAACAAAAGAUCCACGUAUCUAUUUGCAACAUUCGGAACGGAGAGAAGAUUCUUCCGUAUUGCAUGAACGAUAAAUAUUGCUGUUCCCUUUGCUCAUACAAGCUACAGAACCAUUUAGCACAAACUGCUAUGGUUCAACAUAACGAUGCCUCUGAAUGUUCUUGAAGCUGUUCUCCAGGAGGUGAUACCAGCACAGGGAGACUCGGCUUGCGUCACCUUGGCAUUGACCUGCAAGUCCUUUGAAGCCGUUGUAUCUGACCCAGUUUUCAGGAAGAAGACUCACUUUGCUUGGCUGGAUGGUGAGAUCAACUGGGGCAAUUUUUCAAAAACAUUCAAGGCA